rnacentral:rRNA from 1 species
CGGGCGAGGCGCCGGUCUAAGUCCCUUGGAACGGGGCGUCAGAGAGGGUGAGAAUCCCGUACGCGACCGGUGACCGAGCCUAUGUGAAACCCCUUCGACGAGUCGAGUUGUUUGGGAAUGCAGCUCAAAACGGGUGGUAAGUUUCAUCUAAAGCUAAAUACCGGCCAGAGACCGAUAGCGCACAAGUAGAGUGAUCGAAAGAUGAAAAGCACUUUGGAAAGAGAGUCAAAAAGUACGUGAAAUUGUUGAAAGGGAAGCGCUUGCAACCAGACCUGCCCGCGGGUGAUCAACCGUCCUUCUGGGCGGUGCACUCGCCCGCGAUCAGGCCAGCAUCGGUUCGGGCGGUCGGAUAAAGGCCUCGGGAACGUAGCUCCCCUCGGGGAGUGUUAUAGCCCUUGGUGCAAUGCGGCCCGCCCGGACCGAGGACCGCGCUUCGGCUAGGAUGCUGGCGUAAUGGUUGUAAGCGGCCCGUCUUGAAACACGGACCAAGGAGUCGACCAACUAUGCGAGUGUUUGGGUGUCAAACCCACACGCGCAAUGAAAGUGAACGGAGGUGGGAACCCCUCGCGGGGCGCACCAUCGACCGAUCCAGAUGUCUUCGGAUGGAUUUGAGUACGAGCAUAGCUGGUCGGACCCGAAAGAUGAUGAACUAUGCCUGAAUAGGGUGAAGCCAGAGGAAACUCUGGUGGAGGCUCGCAGCGGUUCUGACGUGCAAAUCGAUCGUCAAAUUUGGGCAUAGGGGCGAAAGACUAAUCGAAUCAU